GAGGGUGUAGCUCAAUGUUUACAUAGAGCACAUGUCUGGUAUGCAUGAGGCCCUGACCCUAGGUUUGAUCCUUAGCACCACUA
rnacentral:tRNA from 1 species